UUCAAUUAGGACUUUCCAGUCAAAAAUCAUUGAGCUGAGAGGCUAAAGUAGCAAGCAGCGGACACGAUAGUGUGAAUGAUAGUGUUCUUACUAUUCAUUCCCUAACAACAAGUUAUUAACUUACUAACUCCCUCAAAACUACUCGUAAUUAUAAGGAGAAAUGGAGCAUUUUCGAACAAAGUGAUGGCUACCUGUUACUUUCGUAAAUAUGGCGUCACGUGACGCCCAGCCAGGAUGUAUUUUUCACGCCGCGGGGUCUAAAGAGUCAAGUGCGCAGGUGCGAAGGAGGACACAACCGGAAUCGGGAAGACUAGCUUUCAAAUAAAAGGGUGAGAGGAACGCCAAAUAACUGGACCAAACAUACAAAUUAUGUUUGGAAAUACUUUUCAGAAGAAGAAUAUGUACAUAUAUAGAGAGAACGUGGUUGUCCGAAGUCCCCGAGGGGACAUGGAGAAAAUAUAUUGCCGAAUAAGGUACAGGAGACACUUCCGGUCACAGAUUAAGUCCACAUUGCGAAAGUCGGGUGGAAAUGCGUCAUUCAUCUUCAACAUUUUCCAUCCAUUCCUGUACAAAUGUAGAGGUAUAAAGGGAUACUGUAACUAUAGCAACACGUUUUCAAUUACGUGAUGGUUAUUCUGUUUGUCUUUUGAAAAUAAAAUACGAACGUCCAGUCCCAGCUAGUGUUGCUGGAAACACGUCUCUUUGAGUACUGGUACUGGUACGUUAGUACACUGAUUAGCCAUACGUGGGAUUCUUUCACUUGUGUGCACUGCUUGUCCUACAAGGAAACACUCGCAAACUUGAACAAUGUGUUGCUCUUAAUUUGAAGUCUCUACGCAAACAUCCGCUGUAAAAACGGAAGUAGCGGCUGUGCAACGCUCUUAACGGAAACCAACACUUUUUCCAGAUAACACAAAACAGUUUUGCCUUAUCUCUCAAAAAUCCGUCUUUUUAACCCGUCAGUUUUGUCGUGUGCUCCGAAGUGUUGUGUGUGUGUUUUCCGACUGCGUUUUCGGAUAAUUAUUUUAAGUAUGCCAACGGAAGUGCUCACGAUGACCUGUAGUAAAAGUUGUUAUUCCAGCACGUCUAAAUCAUGUCGGCGGUGGUGAAAGAUUCUUCUGUCAUGACAACAGAAAUCCUGGCCAGAGAGACCCAAUGAGGGAAAAUAACACACAGAAAACCUGUUUACCACCUUCUAAGGCGCCACCCUGGACGGUGCACUUUGUCAAUUCCGAUCAAUAUGCGGAGAGGAUGGCGUGUCGGUGGGAUCUGCUGUCAGAGGGCGACACGGCAAAGAUGAAUCCGUGCACAGGUGAGCGCCACACUCCCCAUUCUAAGAAAAGCUACGACCUUUGAUAAAAUGCU